rnacentral:lncRNA from 1 species
UUCUAAGGUUCUAAAAUCUAAGUUUCAUAAAAAAAAAAAAAAAUAGUCAAAGUGUGAAUUUAUUAUCGAAUAUUAGGGUUUCUUUAUCAUGAUGAAGACACAAGGUAAUUGUAAUUGGUCAUAAAGAGGCAACGAAAAGUGCAUCAUCUCGUCACAUGCAUGAUAAAUAGUGUGAAUUUGUACAACAACUAAUAAUUUUAGUUUUUUUUAGAAGCCCAGAAGAGGGCGCACGCACCUCGAGUCACCAAUAUUCCAACUCGUUGUCAUGAAUAACUAACGUGGAGCUUGUCCAACCUGUGCACUGAACUUGUUUACUUGUGGGGGGAAAAAUAAAGAAAAAAGAAAGAAAGAAAGCGACCGUACACUAUUCUUUGAACAUAUCUUUUACCUUUGCAUCAUUAAUUUUGAAUCAGAGAAAGAGAGAGUCGUUAUACCUGGGUGCAUGCAUCCUCGUUAUAAUCGAUUCCUGCGUGACUGGUUGUCGCAUAAUGUGAUAUAUUGUGUUGUGUGUUUGAAACAUUGAAAGUGGAGUAGGGUGUUGAGUUCCAUGCAAACCCUUGUCAAAUGAAGAGUCCCCUGCUUAUACCUCACAUUCGUUGUCUGUUCGACCUCAGAAUUCUACUAUAUUAGAACUAUUUCAUUGUUGUUAAUUUGAUAACUAACCAGUUUAUUAUUUUUUAUUCUCCAAAUUAAGAUUAACGAUAAAAGUUACAAAAAUGAUAUCAAAAUUCUACUCCAAAAGAACGUGUUUCGGGAAUUGGAUCAUAGGUAAAGGAUGAAAGGAUCUGAAUGAAGUCUAGAGAGGCCAGAUAUUAGUAGUAAAUACACGUGCCAUGCUGAGACGGCUACGAUGGAAAAGCGUUUUGUGUAGGAAAAACUUAACGCGUAAACCUAACACGAAACUCAAACCUACCACACACUUCACUGUUUGUGGCAUUCUAGCAUUAAUGGUAUAUUUUGUCACGGUAGUAAUGGUAUAUUUUGUCACGGUAGUAGGUACCAAGAUCCUAAAAACAAAAAUCAUUGGGUUCUUUGAUCAUGCCCUUUCCUAGUUCCUCCAGAUCCGCAUCUUUUAAAAUACUGACAUUCAUACAUGAAAAUAUAUAAUAAUAAUAAUAAUAAUAAUAACCAUAAUAAUAGAAUUAUAUUUUUAUUUAGUGCUACCGAAUUCAACUUACAGAAAGAUGCUCUAAGAGUAUUUCCAACAUAGAAAUUACCUAAAAGAAAAAGUAAUUUAAGUUUUUUUUUAAAUUAUUAUUUUAACCCAAAAAAAAGUUUCUUGAACUAUUGCAGAUGAUGCAUGAGAGUGUUAGUGUCUAAUCGAAUUGAUCUAUUAUUCUAUUGUAUUGGCCUUUUAAAGCGGAGAAGGUCUUUGAUGCAAUUAGAAUUUUGCUCUUCAUUCAUUCACUAUUUAUCACAUGUAAAUGUGUAUUAUUUUAAUUAGUUGAAUCAUACCCAUCAAAGAGUGAAUUAAAAAAAGAAAAAUACUCUAAAAGCACUCAAAAACUUUCCUUUUGAGCAACAUAAAAUAAUCGACAAUUAAAGGCACAUGCUAAGCUGUAAGUAAGUAAUUAAUAUAUAAGCCAGAACAGCUCUCUUCUUAAAUAUGGCAGCAAAGGUUCUCAUUCUACAAUGUAUCCAAUACCUUGGUGCAUAUACAACAAUUUGUCAAAGAAAGAUGUUCAAAUUCAACGGUAUUAUUUAUUUUAAUCUCUAUGAAAUAAACCCUUAGAGAGAAUUAAUACAGGAUGAAGGAUGACAAAAAGAGCAUGAAGAACCCCCAGAUUUAAGGAAGGAAGAUUCAAGCGACGAUAGACUUUAUAUAGUUAUUUAUCAAUUUGCAAAUCAUACACAUCACCAUGUUUCUAUCCUAGAUGCUUGUUAAAAUCAAACCGUACCCAAUUUAAACCACAGAACGAAAUAAAUCUUUUUUCUUUUAUUGGGUAUUGAACGAGGAUAAAAAGAAAUUUGUUUCCGAUGCAAAGAGAAAGUGCUAUAAUUAAAUAGAUUGAAAAAAAAAAGAAAAAGGUCCAGCUAGUUUAGAGUUCGAUGAGAAACAUCAGGUCCUGAAAAAGGUGUCAGUCUGAUGCAAAAUUUUAAUUGAAAAAGAAAAAAAGAAGUAAAAGAUUUUGUACAUACGCAGAAACAAUUUUAUCAUAUCACAACUUAAUUCUUAUCAGUUAUCAUAUCUUUCUACUUUUUUAGAGCACCUGAAAGUUAGAUGUAAAGCUGUAACUUACAACUUGCAGAAAACACAAACGUUAUUGAUCUAUAUGUAUCUAUCUAUGCUUUUAAAUGUUUACACCUAACUAACAGGCUAACUUGUUUAUUUAUAUACAUAUUUAUAUAUUUGCACAGGCAUCCGCAUGCACACAUGUAAUUUCUUACUUUAGAUGUAGAUUCAAGGAAGAACGUUUUCCUAGAAGAGAAAUUUAUGAUUCUAAUUGUGAUGAAUUUCAGAGGUGCGAUCGAGUGAGCUAGUUUGAAGCUGAUUGAUCUAAAAAGACUUUGGAAAUUGAUAAUAUCUAAAUAUGAUCUAAGAAGAUUUUAGGAAUUGAUACAAUAUGAUCUAAAAAGAUUUUAAUUAGGUCAUAGAUUAUAUCUAAUUAACUGGGGUUUUUUUCAUAAGGUCUAACAACAUAUGUAUGUUCAAGGUCGAACAGACAACGAGGCAAAGGUUAACUCGCAAAAGACUGCUCACUUGACAAGCAUAGCAUGGAAUCCACUCACCCGUUGAUUGAUUAUUCAAAUCCUCUCAUCCAAUUUUUUAUAUACGUUUAGUUCUGUCAUAUGUGAAAACCCACCUGAAAACAACAAAAACGAAAAAAAAAAAUAUAGUGAAACUAAGCUCUCUAAAUCAAGCUUAAAUAAAGUUAAUUAAAACAAUUAAAGCUGGAGAUUAUCAAAAUAUAAGAACGCAAGGAAAUGAAGAAUAAGAAUAUACCAAUUAGUAUUAGUUCUCUUUGGCCACAGUUAUUCGAAAACCAUGUAGCUGGUUUUGUGUGUUUUGUGCAAAGGGAACAAGGUAGAUUAUAUAGGGAUAAGAUGAAGAAAAGGCUUGAUGUGUUUGAGUAUGUGUCAUUUUUUGUAUGAAUCUGAUACAUUUGGCUUAGCUCGUGAGACGCUUUGAC